rnacentral:rRNA from 1 species
CCUACGGGGGGCAGCAGGGGGGAAUAUUGGACAAUGGGGGGAACCCUGAUCCAGCCAUGCCGGGUGUGUGAAGAAGGCCCUCGGGUUGUAAAGCACUUUCAGUGAGGAAGAACGCCUGGUGGUUAAUACCCAUCAGGAAAGACAUCACUCACAGAAGAAGCACCGGCUAACUCCGUGCCAGCAGCCGCGGUAAUACGGAGGGUGCGAGCGUUAAUCGGAAUUACUGGGCGUAAAGCGCGCGUAGGUGGCUUGAUAAACCGGUUGUGAAAGCCCCGGGCUCAACCUGGGAACGGCAUCCGGAACUGUCAAGCUAGAGUGCAGGAGAGGAAGGUAGAAUUCCCGGUGUAGCGGUGAAAUGCGUAGAGAUCGGGAGGAAUACCAGUGGCGAAGGCGGCCUUCUGGACUGACACUGACACUGAGGUGCGAAAGCGUGGGUAGCAAACAGGAUUAGAUACCCUGGUAGUC